AAGUGCCAGGCUGAGCAGAGCAGAGAGAAGCUGCACAGUGUGUGUGUGUGUGUGUGUGUGUGUGUGUGUGUGUGUGUGUGUGUGUGUAACGGCGCCCGUGAGUCACUGUGCUGUGUUCCUGCCGUACCCUUCCCUCACAACCACUGGAGAGAGCCUGGACACUCAGACAGGGGGAGGGGAAGCAACUUUCACAAUCUUCUUCCAGGAAAAGCCAACUCUAACGACCGUUAAACUCUGCCUUCAGUUCUCAGCACCCUGCAGGGUGACAUCCUGAGGUACCAUCUUGGGGAAUCUGUAUAGACUGUGAAGUAGCACAUUAGGGAAGUAGAGGCAAGUUUGCUUGGGGGAGGGGUCUAUUUAAUGAUAUCAAAGUUCUGCCCACCUCAGUUCUUCCUAUACUUUCUACCAAGGAUGAUGUGAUCCAUUUUCCUUCCUUUGAGGUACAUGGCAAUCAACUUUACUCCUAAAUUUCAUAUGCUCAAAUCAUCUAAAUGGCUUGGUUAUUAGAAAGGAUAAAAUGAGCUUUUUCACUCCGGAUCCCUCUUUCUUCCCACACAUGUCUCUGUGAUCACUCCUACUAUCACUGUAGCCCCACUGUCUUCCCAUCGUGUACAACUGGACUCACCACUCAGGCCCCAACUUUGCGGUCAUUGACGUCUCACCUGCUUCCCUGUUUUCACUUCUUCCAGCAAAUGGUUAUGGUGCCCUCUGCUAUGAACAGAGCGCUGUCUAAGUCCUGGGACUACAAGGUUAUGCUGGCCUCACCUGCAGAUCUGACAGCCAGCCUGUGGACACAGCCAUAUCAACUUGAUGCUGUGAUGAUCAGCAAGGAGAAACUAGGUGUUGGGAAGACACUCCUCAAAGUCAGAUGUGAUUUCGUGGAAUGAGAGUCCAAAAGCACCCAUGACCCAUCCCCACCCCAAGACUAAUACCCAAACUGUUGGGGGACCGGCCAGGAGACUGAAGAGAAGCACAGUGGACGUUCUGUGUGCGGCUGCAUCUCAGAUUGCAGUAGCCCCUGCCAGACUCCUCACGCCCACCUGCGAUAGAACGCUGCUCCUCUCCCCACAUCCCUGCGCUCCUCUGAACCCUGGAGCAGGCAGCAGCGAAGAGUCAGGCUGGAGACUCCUCCCAAACAAGUCAAUGGCGAGCGAAGCAAGCGCUCUAGACCUGUGCGGUCCAAUGCAGCUGCCACCGGACACAGGGGGAGACCCAGCACUUGAAAUGAAGCCAGUGCAAAUUGAGAUGUGCUGUAGCUAUAAAAUACACACCAGAUUUUGAAUACUUAGUAUAAAAAGAGAGUGUAAAAUGUCUCAUUAAUCAUUUUAUGUUGAUUACGUUUUGAAAUGAUACUGUUUUUGAUAUACUGGGUUAAAUAAAAUAUGUUCAAACUAA
rnacentral:lncRNA from 1 species